AAAGGCAACCUUAAUAAUCGCCCUCCUUGAUAAAAAAAAGGACGACGAAUUGUACGUAAAAAUUUGUCUUCUUUGGCUCCUUUCUCGCACAAAUAACAAAGACGAAUACUCAGUAAAACCCAACGGAGUAAGACAAACCCAAAAAUAUAAAAUUGUACGAGUAAAAUCUUUCUCUCUCCUCACGAUAUGAGCAUUCAUACUUCGUAUUCUCCAUUGAAGCGGAUUUUGAGCUUUCUUCUCCAUUGAAGCGAUUUUCGAGCUUUCUUCUCCAUUGAAGCAGCUUCUGAGCUUUGUCCUCCAAUUGAAGUAGCUCCUCCAGCGAGUUCUGAGCUUUCUCCUCCAUUGAAGCAGCCUCUGAGCUUUUUCCUCUGCUGAAGCAAUUUCCUCUAUUGAAGCACCUUCUUAGGGUUUGAAGCACAAUUAGUUUGGUUCACUGCUCAAAUUCCUUAGUCAAGUCGCUAAAUUCUGAGUCGUUGAGUAGCAUACUGAUGAGAUAGCUGCCCUUGAGACUUGGGACAAUGGCAAGCCAUAUGAUCAAGCUGCUAAAGCCGAAUUACCAAUGUGUGUUGGUCUAAUGAGAUAUUACGCAGGUGAGUGUUGAAACAGGCUAAGGUGUUAGCAUUGCCUCUUUUUUUUUUUUUUAUUUCACGAAGGUCUAAUUCACCAAUGUGUGUUUAUCUAAUGAGAUGAAGUGUCUUUAGUUUUUGUGGAAUUUCCCAUUGAAUUUCCCUAUAUUCAUGUUUGUGUGGAAGGUUGUGCCUACCUUAGCAUGCAGGUAUACAAUUGUUUUGAAGAGUGCAGAACAAACACCAUUAACUGCAAUCUAUGCCGCAAAGCUACUCCAAGGUGCCUGCUAAAGAUGUUGAGGCUCUGAAAUCUCCUUUGAUGGGGCUUUUCGAAAAAAGGCGUGCUAGAAAGUUCUUCAUUUACGUGCAAGAUUAUUUGAUUACUGCAAGAGUUCAUAAUAUUUCAUCUUAUUCCUUGAUUAUUUUAAAUUCUGUUCUUUUGUCUAUGAAAGUUGUAACUAUUAGUCUAAGGAAAUGUUAAUUAAUAUGUAUAUAUAGUAUUUGUCAUGCGCCUUUUCAUCUGACUUUACACUGUCUAAGACCUGAUGCUAUCGUUGAAGAAUUUGCUAGGUUAUGGCGAAUGUUGUAUGCUAUCUUAUUGGUUUUAUUGAUGUUUAUGCAAUAUGAAUGUUUGUUCUGAAUAUUUAUUAUCUGUUAACUUUUCUGGGAGUCAGUAACUUUUUCAUUGUUGAAAACCUCCUAUGCAGGCUAUGAGCUGCAUGAGCUUGAGUUUUGUUGGACAGAUUACUUUGUGGGAUAACUUUGAACAGAUAACUUUGUAGACAUCUAUUCUGCAAGACUGCAAUACUUGUUGGGCAAGCUCUAAUGUGGAAGACAAGUGAAGACAAGUCCAAGGACACUCAAACCAUAAAUUUCAGCUUCACUAGCGAUGGAGUGAUAAUUAUAUUGUAGUUGUGCAAUAUGUUAGCGUAAUUAUGUUUGUUGUACAAGUAGCAUGUUUGUUGUAAAGACCAUUCUCUUGCAUUGUAAUAUACUUUUUGCUAAUAAAUAAUGUUGAUUACAUAAUUAUAUAA